CAAGUGUGUUGUCAACAAGGCGCCCAUUGGGCUUAAAAGGGAAUCCCGUGCAAAUCGGGAACGGUCCCGCCACUGUAAUUUCCUCCUGCUGCCAGUGCGGAGCGGGAAAGCCGGUUCUCAGGCCACUGCCCUAUGUCAAAAGGGUGGGAAGGCGAACCGGUUUUGGGAAAAGUCAGGAGACCUGCCUCGUUGAUUUUUUUGCU
rnacentral:ncRNA from 2 species